GACGAACGCUGGCGGCGUGCUUAACACAUGCAAGUCGAGCGGAAAGGCCACUUCGGUGGUACUCGAGCGGCGAACGGGCGAGUAACACGUGAGUAAUCUGCCCCUGGCUUUGGGAUAGCCACCGGAAACGGUGAUUAAUACCGGAUAUGACCACGUCUCGCAUGGGGUGUGGUGGAAAGUUUUUCGGCCAGGGAUGUGCUCGCGGCCUAUCAGCUUGAUGGUGAGGUAAUGGCUCACCAUGGCUUCGACGGGUAGCCGGCCCGAGAGGGUUACCGGUCACACUGGGACUGAGACACGGCCCAGACUCCUACGGGAGGCAGCAGUGGGGAAUAUUGGACAAUGGGCGGAAGCCUGAUCCAGCAACGCCGCGUGCGGGAUGACGGCCUUCGGGUUGUAAACCGCUUUUAGUAGGGAAGAAGCCUUCGGGUGACGGUACCUGCAGAAAAAGGACCGGCUAACUACGUGCCAGCCGCCGCGGUAAUAC
rnacentral:rRNA from 1 species